rnacentral:rRNA from 1 species
CCUACGGGUGGCUGCAGUGGGGAAUAUUGGACAAUGGGCGAAAGCCUGAUCCAGCCAUGCCGCGUGUGUGAAGAAGGCCUUCGGGUUGUAAAGCACUUUCAGUGGGGAAGAAAGCCUUGGGGCUAAUACCCUCGAGGAAGGACAUCACCCACAGAAGAAGCACCGGCUAACUCCGUGCCAGCAGCCGCGGUAAUACGGAGGGUGCGAGCGUUAAUCGGAAUUACUGGGCGUAAAGCGCGCGUAGGCGGUCUGAUAAGCCGGUUGUGAAAGCCCCGGGCUCAACCUGGGAACGGCAUCCGGAACUGGCAGGCUAGAGUGCAGGAGAGGAAGGUAGAAUUCCCGGUGUAGCGGUGAAAUGCGUAGAGAUCGGGAGGAAUACCAGUGGCGAAGGCGGCCUUCUGGACUGAAACUGACGCUGAGGUGCGAAAGCGUGGGUAGCAAACAGGAUUAGAUACCCAGUAGUC